rnacentral:rRNA from 1 species
UGAGGAAUAUUGGUCAAUGGACGGAAGUCUGAACCAGCCAAGUCGCGUGAAGGAUGAAGGUUCUAUGGAUUGUAAACUUCUUUUAUACGAGGGUAAAACAGCGGACGUGUCCGCUCUUGCAAGUAUCGUAUGAAUAAGCAUCGGCUAACUCCGUGCCAGCAGCCGCGGUAAUACGGAGGAUGCGAGCGUUAUCCGGAUUUAUUGGGUUUAAAGGGUGCGUAGGCGGAUUAUUAAGUCAGUGGUAAAAGCGUGUGGCUCAACCAUACCAAGCCAUUGAAACUGGUAGUCUUGAGUGCAAACGAGGUAGGCGGAAUGUGACGUGUAGCGGUGAAAUGCUUAGAUAUGUCACAGAACCCCGAUUGCGAAGGCAGCUUACCAGCAUGCAACUGACGCUGAGGCACGAAAGCGUGGGUAUCAAACAG